AGUAUAUCAUCAAAGCUGUUCCAAUCUACAACUUGAG
rnacentral:sRNA from 1 species